AGACUGGCCGGCUAMCUUCSUGUCCUCCGCCUUAGUAAUGSGAAAGCACCUAGAGUAGCUCGGAAUUACUGGGCGUAAAGCGCGCGUAGGCCGGUGAGUUAGUUAAUUGUGAAAUCCCAAAGCUUAACUUUGAAACUGCAAUUAAAACUGCUCGACUAGAGUUUGAUAGAGGAAAGCGGAAUACAUAGUGUAGAGGUGAAAUUCGUAGAUAUUAUGUAGAACACCAGUUGCGAAGGCGGCUUUCUGGAUCAACACUGACGCUGAGGCGCGAAAGUAUGGGUAGCAAAGAGGAUUAGAUACCCUCGUAGUCCAUACCAUAAACGAUGAUUGCUAGAUGUUGGAAAUUUAUUUUCAGUAUCGCAGCUAACGCAUUAAGCAAUCCGCCUGGGGAGUACGACCGCAAGGUUAAAACUCAAAUGAAUUGACGGGGACCCGCACAAGCGGUGGAGCAUGUGGUUUAAUUCGAAGAUACGCGCAGAACCUU
rnacentral:rRNA from 1 species